rnacentral:rRNA from 1 species
CGGUAAUUCCAGCUCCAAUAGCGUAUACUAAAGUUGUUGCAGUUAAAAAGCUCGUAGUUGAAUUUCUGGUCGUGGCGAUCGGUCCGCCCCUCACGGGGUGUGCACCUGGUCUCUACGUCCAUCCUCGGGGAGAGCGUGCCUGGCAUUAAGUUGUCGGGUGCGGGAUCCUCGUCAUUUACUGUGAGCAAAAUAGAGUGUUCAAAGCAGGCUUAGGCCGUUGAAUACAUUAGCAUGGAAUAAUAAGAUAGGACCUUGGUCUAUUUUGUUGGUUUGCAUUCCAAGGUAAUGAUUAAUAGGGAUAGUUGGGGGUAUUCGUAUUCAAUUGUCAGAGGUGAAAUUCUUGGAUUUAUGGAAGACGAACUACUGCGAAAGCAUUUACCAAGGACGUUUUCAUUAAUCAAGAACGAAAGUUAGGGGAUCGAAGAUGAUUAGAUACCAUCGUAGUCUUAACCAUAAACUAUGCCAACUAGGGAUUGGUGGACGUUUGUAACGACUCCAUCAGCACCUUAUGAGAAAUCAAAGUCUUUGGGUUCCGGGGAGAGUAUGGUCGCAAGGCUGAAACUUAAAGAAAUUGACGGAAGGGCACCACCAGGAGUGGAGCCUGCGGCUUAAUUUGACUCAACACGGGAAAACUUACCAGGUCCAGACAUAGUGAGGAUUGACAGAUUGAGAGCUCUUUCUUGAUUCUAUGGGUGGUGGUGCAUGUCCGUUUUUAGUGGGUGGAGUGAUUGGUUAGGUUAAUUCCGUUAACGAACGAGACCCCCGCAUGUUAAAUAGUUGAGCGAAUGCAUAGCAUUGGCGUCAACUUAUUAGAGGGACUUGUGGUGACUAACCAAAGGAAGUUCGGGGCAAUAUCAGGUAUGUGAUGCCAUUAGAUGUCCUGGGCCGCACGCGCAAUACAACGAUACACGCAUCGAGUCCACCUUGUCCGAAAGGUCCGGGUAAUAUAGUAAAUGUGUAUUGUACUAGGGAUAGAUUUUUUCAAUUUUGAAUCUUGAGAGAGGAAUUCAUAGUAAAUUCGAGUCAUCAGCUCGCGUUGAUUACGUCCCUGCCCUCAGUACACACCUCCCGUCGCACGUACGGAUGGAAUGGUUCGGUGAAAAUCUCGGGGUGCGGAUUGGAUGCGUUAGGGCAGCCCAGGGAAAGGAAAGUUGUCUUAACCUCAUCAAUUAGAGGAGAGGUGAAGUCAUAGCAAGGUAUACCGUAAGAGGUGAAUCCAGCAGCACGUGGCGGCCG